AAAAUGUCAGUAUAGUAAGGUGUCAAAAACUGUCAAAAAAUGUCAGUAUAGUAAGGUGUCAAAAACCGUCAAAAAAUGUCAUAGUAUAGUAAGACAUAAAAAGUGGUCAAAAAAUGCCAUAGUAUAGUAAGGUGUCAAAAAACAUCAAAAAUGUCAUAGUAUAGUAAGACAUGAAAAAUGGCCAAAAAAUGUCAUAGUAUAGUAAGGCGUUAAAAACCAUCAAAAAAUGCCAUAGUAUAGUAAAGUGUCAAAAAAUGUCAGUAUAGUAAGGUGUCAAAAACUGUCAAAAAAUGUCAUAGUAUAGUAAGGCGUUAAAAACCAUCAAAAAAUGCCAUGGUAUAGUAAAGUGUCAAAAACCAUCAAAAAAUGUCAUAGUAUAGUGUGGCGUCAAAAACCAUCAAAAAUAUCAUAGUAUAGUAAGACAUGAAAAAUAGCCAAAAAAUGUCAUAGUAUAGUAAGGCGUCAAAAACUGUCAAAAAAUGCCAUGGUAUAGUAAAGUGUCAAAAACUGUCAAAAAAUGUCAGUAUAG